UGUCAGCAGCCGCGGUAAUACGGGGGGUGCAAGCGUUAUUCGGAUUUAUUGGGCGUAAAGAGCGCGUAGGCGGUUUAUCAAGUCAGAUGUGAAAGCCCUGGGCUCAACCUGGGAAGUGCAUUUGAAACUAGUAGACUUGAGUAUGGGAGAGGGGAGUGGAAUUCCUGGUGUAGAGGUGAAAUUCGUAGAUAUCAGGAGGAACACCGGUGGCGAAGGCGACUUCCUGGACCAAUACUGACGCUGAGGCGCGAAGGCGUGGGGAGCAAACAGGAUUAGAUACCCUGGUAGUCCACGCAGUAAACGGUGAUCACUAGGUGUAGCGGGUAUUGACCCCUGCUGUGCCGCAGUUAACGCAUUAAGUGAUCCGCCUGGGGAGUACGAUCGCAAGGUUAAAACUUAAAGAAAUUGACGG
rnacentral:rRNA from 1 species